rnacentral:sRNA from 3 species
GGUACGCCUCCGCUGAGUCCGGCGUGGCCGGAACCGGGGAACCACACGCAGGACUUGGGGUGAAUCGGCCGGCGCGUAACCGUGCGCGAGGGCCGUAGGGCGGCCUUCCGAAGCCCGAACCCGACAGCUAACCCGGUAGGCGGUCCACGGAAGGAGCG